CAAGCCCUAAAAUGUGCCUUGCAAUGGCGAGAGGAGCUCCGCUAUGGCGCGCGGCGACGGCGAUUUGUAGGGGCCGAUCGGUGCGUGGAUUGCCUAGAAUCACUGCAAUCGGUGCGAAAUCUUUCUCUGUCGAUGCUUCCUCGCGCACCGAUCUCAUCAAGACGCUGCGCGAGCGGACCGGGGCGCCGAUCAAGGAUGUCAAGGAGGUGCUGGUGAAAUGUGAAUGGAACGAAGAGAAUGCGUUUACUGAGCUGAGGAAGAAGGGCCUUGCUGCCGCGACGAAGAAAUCUUCUCGUGUGGCUGCGGAAGGAUUGCUUGGACUGGCACACUUCGAGAAAGGUGCCGCGGUCAUAGAGAUUAACAGCGAGACUGACUUUGUUGCUCGAAACGAUCUCUUCCAGAGCCUUGUGCUGUCAGUCGCAAAAGCGGCAUCCACAUUGAAAGCUGUCCAACAAUUUUCUUCUAAACCAGCUGCUCUUGAUUUGCACGAUUUAGAGCUUGUAAAUGUGAAGCUGGAUCACGCAUCAAUCACCAGAGAGCUUCGUGUACGCGACGCAGUCUCGGAAGUUGCCGCUAUCACUGGAGAAAAUGUGAGACUUCGAAGAGCUUUCUAUAUGUCUUCGCAAAGAGGGAUCGUGUCCUCGUAUUUGCACAUGAGUCCGGCAUCAGGUUUAUCUCGGCUCGCGGGGCUCGUUUCGGUCGAGGUUGAAGAUGAUCAAGAAGGCUCGCAUUCGGAAACACUGAAAAGCGUGGGCUCGUCUCUUGCAAUGCAUGUUGUUGCUGCAAGGCCGCUGUUUUUGUCUAAGGAACUCGUGGACUCUGAAGUACUGGAGCAUGAGCGGAACAUCUGCAAAGCACAGGCCUCGACUGCUGGAAAGCAAGAGAAUGUCGUCCAGAAGAUGGUCGAAGGCAGGCUUGCCAAAUACAUGGAAGAGGUUGUUCUUCUGGAGCAGAAGUACGUUGCAGACGAAACGAAACGGAUCAAAGUCCUGCUAAAAGAGGCGUCCAAGGAAAUCGGGAAGACGGCCAAGAUCGAGGGAUUCCUGCGAAUAGAAGUCGGGGAGGGGAUCGAAAAGCUUGAAAAGGACUUUGCUGCCGAGGUUGCUGCUGCAGCACGAUGACAGGUUGGAUAUUCAAAACAAGUAGGUGGUUUUAUUCGAAUCAAAUCAAUUGCCAAAGACGCUGGCACAUUAUCUCGAGGACAAGACGCAAUGAAAUAACGAAUUGGAAGUGAGCCUUGCUCCAUUUCCAGCCAUACGGACAGCGGUGGCAAUCGUUGUUAUACCAAUACCAGUCACUCGGGCAGCUCACACACUUGCUUCCACUCCACUUCCAUCCGGACGGGCAUUGGUGGCACUUGUUGUUGUACCAGUACCAGUUGCUCGGGCAGCUCACGCAUUUGCUUCCACUCCACUUCCAACCGGAGAGGCAUCUGUGGCAAUCGUUGCUAUACCAGUACCAGCCCUUGGGACACUGGAUGCACUUGUGGCCGUCCCAGUUCCAUCCAGAUUUGCAUUUCUGCUGGGCUGCUGCGCUUGCGAUGCCACCAACGUCCACUCCAACCAGGAGGACUGUCACAACCAUGGCCAGAAGCAUCAGCUGGGACUUGCUCGCCAUCUUGGUAGAAGAAACUUUCGAAGUGUACUGAGAUCUCUCUCUCUCUCUCUCUCUCUCGCAAAACUUGCUGCUGUGUGGUGGAUUAGAAGUGGAGGCAAUUUAUAGGAUGGAGGAAGUGGAGACCAAGUCCAGCGAGAUUGCUACAGCGUCACUCGGUUCUGACUAUUUAGCCAGCAUGUUAUGCUUGACAUAGUCGUUAGACGUAAUCUAUCCAAUUAUCACAGAAAUGGUAUAAAUUCGACGGCAGCCAGA